rfam:Cavia porcellus supercont2_268 genomic scaffold, whole genome shotgun sequence.
GGGGAUUUAGCUCAGUGGCAUAAGCACCUGCCUUGCAAGCAGGCAUUCGUGAGUUCGAUUCCCAGUACCGA